UGGGGAAUAUUGCACAAUGGGGGAAACCCUGAUGCAGCGACGCCGCGUGAGCGAAGAAGGCUUUCGAGUCGUAAAGCUCUGUCCUAUGAGAAGAUAAUGACGGUAUCAUAGGAGGAAGCCCUGGCUAAUUACGUGCCAGCAGCCGCGGUAAUACGUAAGGUCCGAGCGUUGUCCGGAAUCAUUGGGCGUAAAGGGUACGUAGGCGGGUAAGCAAGUUAGAAGUGAAAUCCUGUAGCUCAACUACAGUAAGCUUUUAAAACUGCUCAUCUUGAGAUAUGGAAGGGAAAGUGGAAUUCCUAGUGUAGCGGUGAAAUGCGCAGAUAUUAGGAGGAAUACCGGUGGCGAAGGCGACUUUCUGGCCAUAAUCUGACGCUGAGGUACGAAAGCGUGGGUAGCAAACAGG
rnacentral:rRNA from 1 species